GAUGAACGCUGGCGGCGUGCCUAAUACAUGCAAGUCGAGCGAACAGACGAGGAGCUUGCUCCUCUGACGUUAGCGGCGGACGGGUGAGUAACACGUGGAUAACCUACCUAUAAGACUGGGAUAACUUCGGGAAACCGGAGCUAAUACCGGAUAAUAUAUUGAACCGCAUGGUUCAAUAGUGAAGGACGGUUUUGCUGUCACUUAUAGAUGGAUCCGCGCCGCAUUAGCUAGUUGGUAAGGUAACGGCUUACCAAGGCGACGAUGCGUAGCCGACCUGAGAGGGUGAUCGGCCACACUGGAACUGAGACACGGUCCAGACUCCUACGGGAGGCAGCAGUAGGGAAUCUUCCGCAAUGGGCGAAAGCCUGACGGAGUAACGCCGCGUGAGUGAUGAAGGUCUUCGGAUCGUAAAACUCUGUUAUUAGGGAAGAACAAAUGUGUAAGUAACUAUGCACGUCUUGACGGUACCUAAUCAGAAAGCCACGGCUAACUACGUG
rnacentral:rRNA from 1 species